rnacentral:lncRNA from 1 species
AACCAAAGAAGCACAUUUAAGUGAAAUUCAUUUAACAGUACUCAAGUUUGCAAUCAGGUGACUUGAUAUGAUCAUCGCCACACCAAAGCAAGGAAGCACUCAAGUUUUGCAAUCAGGUGUAUACACAUUGGUCCAGAUAGCCAGCAGAUUCAGGUUCAAGUUACAACCAUCAGGUGAAAGCGAAACUUCCAACUAGCUUUUGCUGUUUUAUUUCAUAGCAGUAAUCCAACACUACGAUGAACAGAACAGAUAUCAUAAUAGCAAUUCAACACUGAGGAACACAGACAUCAUAGUAGUAAUUCAGCACAGGGAAAUCUCCAGCCAUCAGGUUCUUGCAGGGAAAAGGACCAAUUCAGACAGGGACAAAGACCCCGAUCCGCUAUUCUCGGUGUUUCUUUGAUUGUCUACCAGAGUUCAUCAACUUGAAUAGAGAAUUUAGAUUAGCCAAAUCCAGUUUUACCUG